rnacentral:rRNA from 1 species
CCGGUGACAAACCGGAGGAAGGUGGGGAUGACGUCAAGUCAUCAUGGCCCUUACGGCCUGGGCUACACACGUGCUACAAUGGUCGGUACAAAGGGUUGCCAAGCCGCGAGGUGGAGCUAAUCCCAUAAAACCGAUCGUAGUCCGGAUCGCAGUCUGCAACUCGACUGCGUGAAGUCGGAAUCGCUAGUAAUCGUGAAUCAGAAUGUCACGGUGAAUACGUUCCCGGGCCUU